GACGAACGCUGGCGGCGUGCUUAACACAUGCCAGUCGAACGCCGAACCCGCUUCGGUGGGGGAUGAGUGGCGAACGGGUGAGUAACACGUGGGCAACCUGCCCCCGGCUCUGGGAUAACUCCAAGAAAUUGGGGCUAAUACCGGAUGUGACCGCUGGCCGCAUGGUCUGGUGGUGGAAAGGGUUUCCGGCUGGGGAUGGGCCCGCGGCCUAUCAGCUUGUUGGUGGGGUAGUGGCCUACCAAGGCGACGACGGGUAGCCGGCCUGAGAGGGUGACCGGCCACACUGGGACUGAGACACGGCCCAGACUCCUACGGGAGGCAGCAGUGGGGAAUAUUGCGCAAUGGGCGGAAGCCUGACGCAGCGACGCCGCGUGGGGGAUGACGGCCUUCGGGUUGUAAACCUCUUUCAGCAGGGACGAAGCGCAAGUGACGGUACCUGCAGAAGAAGCACCGGCCAACUACGUG
rnacentral:rRNA from 1 species